rnacentral:rRNA from 1 species
GACGAACGCUGGCGGCGUGCUUAACACAUGCAAGUCGAACGGAAAGGCCCUGCUUUUGUGGGGUGCUCGAGUGGCGAACGGGUGAGUAACACGUGAGUAACCUGCCCUUGACUUUGGGAUAACUUCAGGAAACUGGGGCUAAUACCGGAUAGGAGCUCCUGCUGCAUGGUGGGGGUUGGAAAGUUUCGGCGGUUGGGGAUGGACUCGCGGCUUAUCAGCUUGUUGGUGGGGUAGUGGCUUACCAAGGCUUUGACGGGUAGCCGGCCUGAGAGGGUGACCGGCCACAUGGGGACUGAGAUACGGCCCAGACUCCUACGGGCGGCAGCAGUGGGGAAUAUUGCACAAUGGGCGGAAGCCUGAUGCAGCAACGCCGCGUGCGGGAUGACGGCCUUCGGGUUGUAAACCGCUUUCGCCUGUGACGAAGCGUGAGUGACGGUAAUGGGUAAAGAAGCACCGGCUAACUACGUG